rnacentral:rRNA from 1 species
AGAGUUUGAUCCUGGCUCAGGAUGAACGCUAGCUACAGGCUUAACACAUGCAAGUCGAGGGGCAGCGGGGUGUAGCAAUACACUGCCGGCGACCGGCGCACGGGUGCGUAACACGUAUCCAAUCUGCCCUGUGCUCGGGGACAGCCCAUCGAAAGAUGGAUUAAUACCCGAUGGCAUCUGUAUUCCGCAUGGAUUACAGAUUAAAGAUUUCAUCGGCACAGGAUGAGGAUGCGUAUGAUUAGGUAGUAGGCGGGGUAACGGCCUACCUAGCCAUCGAUCAUUAGGGGUUCUGAGAGGAAGGUCCCCCACACUGGAACUGAGACACGGUCCAGACUCCUACGUGAGGCAGCAGUGAGGAAUAUUGGUCAAUGGACGCGAGUCUGAACCAGCCAAGUAGCGUGAAGGAUGACUGCCCUACGGGUUGUAAACUUCUUUUGUUCGGGAAUAAAGUGCGCCACGUGCUGGCGUUUUGUAUGUACCGUUCGAAUAAGCAUCGGCUAAUUCCGUGCCAGCAGCCGCGGUAAUACGGAAGAUGCGAGCGUUAUCCGGAUUUAUUGGGUUUAAAGGGAGCGUAGGCGGGCUGUUAAGUCAGCGGUUAAAUGUUAUGGCCCAACCUUGGCAUGCCGUUGAAACUGGCGGCCUUGAGUUCACACAAGGAUGGUGGAAUUCGUCGUGUAGCGGUGAAAUGCUUAGAUAUGACGAAGAACUCCGAUUGCGAAGGCAGCCGUCUGGGGUGUUACUGACGCUGAGGCUCGAAAGUGCGGGUAUCGAACAGGAUUAGAUACCCUGGUAGUCCGCACAGUAAACGAUGAACGCUGGUCAUUGGCGACAUACAGUCAGUGACUGAGGGAAACCAUUAAGCGUUCCACCUGGGGAGUACGCCGGCAACGGUGAAACUCAAAGGAAUUGACGGGGGCCCGCACAAGCGGAGGAACAUGUGGUUUAAUUCGAUGAUACGCGAGGAACCUUACCCGGGCUUGAAAUGUGCCUGACGACCUGCGGAGAUGCGGGUUUUCUUCGGACAGGCAUGUAGGUGCUGCAUGGUUGUCGUCAGCUCGUGCCGUGAGGUGUCGGCUUAAGUGCCAUAACGAGCGCAACCCUUGCCGUCAGUUGCCAUCGGGUAAUGCCGGGCACUCUGUCGGGACUGCCAUCGCAAGAUGCGAGGAAGGUGGGGAUGACGUCAAAUCAGCACGGCCCUUACGUCCGGGGCUACACACGUGUUACAAUGGGGGGCACAGCGCGUCGGCUUACGGUGACGUUGGUCCAAUCGUGAAAUCCCCUCUCAGUUCGGACUGGAGUCUGUAACCCGACUCCACGAAGCUGGAUUCACUAGUAAUCGCGCAUCAGCCAUGGCGCGGUGAAUACGUUAACCGGGCCUUGCACACACCGCCCGUCA